GUUAGGAAUAUUGGACAAUGGGCGAAAGCCUGAUCCAGCCAUGCCGCGUGAACGAUGAAGGCCUUCGGGUUGUAAAGUUCUUUAGCCGAUGAUUAUAAUGACUGUAGUCGGAAAAUAAGCCCCGGCUAACUUCGUGCCAGCAGCCGCGGUAAGACGAAGGGGGCGAGCGUUAUUCGGAAUCACUGGGCGUAAAGCGUGCGUAGGCGGUUUUGUAAGUUAGGAGUGAAAGCCCAGGGCUCAACCGUGGAAUUGCUCUUAAAACUGCAAGGCUCGAAUCUCGGAGAGGAUAGCGGAAUUUCCAGUGUAGCAGUGAAAUGCGUAGAUAUUGGAAGGAACACCAGUGGCGUAAGCGGCUAUCUGGACGAGUAUUGACGCUGAGGCACGAAAGCGUGGGGAUCAAACAGGAUUAGAAACCCCAGUAGUCC
rnacentral:rRNA from 1 species